UAUUGUCUGCGCAUCUCGGCAACCUAUCGCCUAAAUAACCCGAACAAUUUUUAUAUUUAGGGAACCAGACUCCGAUUUAUGGGAAUGCAGACCUCCCUGCUUUUGCAGGACGCUGGGAGCACAAAAUUUAUUGGGUGGUGCCCACCUGCGUUUAACAGCAGGUUAUAUUCGGCAUAGGCGGAUGUGUGGAUAUUUU
rnacentral:other from 1 species